AAGGUCAGACUAAUACGUUUCCAUUGUACGGUUUCUUGUUGUAUCUUGUCUAUGAUAGCGCUAAUGUUUAGCCGGUAGGUAUCCUUAUGUUGUUUUGGUAUCUUGAUACCUAGAUAUUUAAUAUAGUGGUUGGCCUUUUUAAAGGGGAAAUCUGGAGGCCAAUCCUGUUGUGACGUGUCAUGCAGUAAUAGUGCUUCUGAUUUAUCUGCGUUAAUUUGGAAACCAGCUAUUCGUCCGAAUCUGUGGAUUAUAGAAAGUAUGGGCGAUAUUUCCAAUUGAGGGUUUUUUAUGAAUAGUAAUAUGUCAUCUGCAAAAGCUGUGACUUUCAAUUGGGUUUGGUUAACUGAGAGUCCGGGUAUUGAUGGGUCUCGUAUAAAGUGGCGUAGGAGGGGAUCUAAGGCCAAAUUGAAUAGCAGGGGGGAGAGUGGGCAUCCUUGUCUUGUCCCUCUGUGUAUAGUAAAUAUGUCAGAGUUGGAGUUAUUAAGUGUAAUAAAUGUUUGUGGCUUGGAAUACAGGUUAUUGAAUAAGUUAAGCAUGUGUAUGCCAAAAUGUUGGUAUUUCAGCAGUCUUUUAAAAUGUGCAUGCGAGAUCCUAUCAAAGGCUUUGUCUGCGUCCAAAUUUAACAACAUUCCAAUUUUCUUUUAUCUAGGUUACUGUGAUAGACGAUCGUUAGGAUUUGCCGGAUGGAUUGUACCGGUUGCCGACGCCUGAGGAAGCCUACUUGGUUUUUGGUGCGUCAAGUAUUUCCCUGUCCUGAACCGACAACUUUUGAAGGCCAGCCUCCUGUAUAAAUUUGAGUCCAUCUGCCGGGUCCUCUAAGGGAGUAUCAUACAAGGUUUUAAAGUGAGAUGUCAAAAUGUCUUUUAUGUGGGUGGGGUCCUUAGUCCAACCAUGUAUGGAUUUUAGUUUUUGUAUAUAGCAAUUUGCUGAUCGUCUAUUCGCUAUUUUUGCCAAAAGUUUCCCAGACUUGUUACCCCACCUAUAAAAGAGAUUAGCGGUAUGAUGUAAUGAGCCGUGUGCCUUUUCAGUUAAUAAAGUAUCAAAUAAUU